UGCUUCACGUGCUGUGUGUGUGUGAUGACGUGGCUAUUCCCAACAACCAAUCCUACAUAGUUGAGAGAUGGCUGUCCAGUGGCCAGCACGGUGUGUACCUGACAGCCAGGGGGCAGGAUAUCAACAGACAGCCCAAUAUACUGUACCUAUCAACUACGGGCGGAAAGAGCUGGGUGGCCCUCCAUGAGUUUGUUGACGAAAACAAUGAGUGUUACGAUCAAAAUAAGCAUGACUUCCUACUGCAUCAACUUGACCUGUACAAGGCACUGUGUCACG
rnacentral:sRNA from 1 species